rnacentral:rRNA from 1 species
CAAUAGCGUAUACUUAAGUUGUUGCAGUUAAAAAGCUCGUAGUUGGAUUUCGGUUAAGAGCGACCGGUCCGCCGUUUGGUGUGCACUGGUUGGUUUUAACUUCCUGUAGAGGACGUGCUCUGGGUUUAACGACCUGGACUCGGAGUCUACGUGGUUACUUUGAAAAAAUUAGAGUGUUCAAAGCGGGCUUACGCUUGAAUAUUUCAGCAUGGAAUAACACUAUAGGACUCCUGUCCUAUUUCGUUGGUCUCGGGACGGGAGUAAUGAUUAAGAGGAACAGUUGGGGGCAUUCGUAUUUCAUUGUCAGAGGUGAAAUUCUUGGAUUUAUGAAAGACGAACUUCUGCGAAAGCAUUUGCCAAGGAUGUUUUCAUUAA